rnacentral:rRNA from 1 species
AUUGAACGCUGGCGGCAUGCUUUACACAUGCAAGUCGAACGGUAACAGGUUAAGCUGACGAGUGGCGAACGGGUGAGUAAUGCAUCGGAACGUGCCCGAUCGUGGGGGAUAACGCAGCGAAAGCUGCGCUAAUACCGCAUACGAUCUGAGGAUGAAAGCGGGGGACCGUAAGGCCUCGCGCGAGCGGAGCGGCCGAUGUCAGAUUAGGUAGUUGGUAGGGUAAAGGCCCACCAAGCCGACGAUCUGUAGCUGGUCUGAGAGGACGACCAGCCACACUGGGACUGAGACACGGCCCAGACUCCUACGGGAGGCAGCAGUGGGGAAUUUUGGACAAUGGGCGAAAGCCUGAUCCAGCAAUGCCGCGUGCAGGAAGAAGGCCUUCGGGUUGUAAACUGCUUUUGUACGGAGCGAAAAGGUCCUUUCUAAUACAAGGGGCUCAUGACGGUACCGUAAGAAUAAGCACCGGCUAACUACGUGCCAGCCGCCGCCGUAA